GACGAACGCUGGCGGCGUGCUUAACACAUGCAAGUCGAGCGGAAAGGCCCUGCUUUUGUGGGGUGCUCGAGUGGCGAACGGGUGAGUAACACGUGAGUAACCUGCCCUUGACUUUGGGAUAACUUCAGGAAACUGGGGCUAAUACCGGAUAGGAGCUCCUGCUGCAUGGUGGGGGUUGGAAAGUUUCGGCGGUUGGGGAUGGACUCGCGGCUUAUCAGCUUGUUGGUGGGGUAGUGGCUUACCAAGGCUUUGACGGGUAGCCGGCCUGAGAGGGUGACCGGCCACAUUGGGACUGAGAUACGGCCCAGACUCCUACGGGAGGCAGCAGUGGGGAAUAUUGCACAAUGGGCGGAAGCCUGAUGCAGCAACGCCGCGUGCGGGAUGACGGCCUUCGGGUUGUAAACCGCUUUCGCCUGUGACGAAGCGUGAGUGACGGUAAUGGGUAAAGAAGCGCCGGCUAACUACGUG
rnacentral:rRNA from 1 species